rnacentral:rRNA from 1 species
UACAGAGGGUGCGAGCGUUGUCCGGAAUCACUGGGCGUAAAGGGCGCGUAGGCGGCCUGAUAAGUCGGGGGUGAAAUCCUGUGGCUCAACCACAGGGCUGCCUCCGAGACUGUCGGGCUCGAGCACAGUAGAGGCAGGUGGAAUUCCCGGUGUAGCGGUGGAAUGCGUAGAGAUCGGGAAGAACAUCGGUGGCGAAGGCGGCCUGCUGGGCCACACCUGACGCUGAGGCGCGACAGCGUGGGGAGCGAACAGG